rnacentral:rRNA from 1 species
AUCGAACCCGGAGAUAGCUGGUUCUCCCCGAAAUAGCUUUAGGGCUAGCCUCGGGGGAUGUCAUGCGGAGGUAGAGCACUGAUUGGGCUAGGGGUCUUACCAGAUUACUGAACCCGUUCAAACUCCGAAUACCGUAUGAUUACCCCGGGAGUCAGACAGUGGGGGAUAAGCUUCAUUGUCGAAAGGGAAACAGCCCAGACCCUCAGCUAAGGUCCCCAAGUACGUGCUAAGUGGGAAACGAUGUGGGAUUGCAUAGACAACCAGGAUGUUGGCUUAGAAGCAGCCACUCAUUUAAAGAGUGCGUAAUAGCUCACUGGUCGAGUGGUCCUGCGCGGAAAAUGUAACGGGGCUCAAGCACGACACCGAAGCUAGGGAUUUCCAUAGAAAUAUGGGAGUGGUAGGGGAGCAUAGUGUUCAGCAGUGAAGUCGUACCGUAAGGAGCGGUGGAGCGGACACUAGAGAGAAUGCAGGAAUAAGUAGCGAAAAGACAGGUGAGAAUCCUGUCCGCCGAAAGCCUAAGGUUUCCUGAGGAAGGUUCGUCCUCUCAGGGUAAGCCGGGACCUAAGCCGAGGCUGAAAAGCGUAGGCGAUGGACAACGGGUUAAAAUUCCCGUGCCACCACGGUCCGUUUGAGCAAUGGGGUGACGCAGAAGGGUAGACCAGCCGGCUGAUGGAUGCCGGUCCAAGCGAGUAGGGUGUUUAGUAGGUAAAUCCGCUAAACGUUAAGCCUGAGACGUGACGGAGUGCGAAAUUUAGUAGCGGAAUUGGUUGAUCCCAAGCUGCCAAGAAAAGCCUCUAGCGAGGAACCAGGUGCCCGUACCGCAAACCGCCACAGGUAGGCAAGAAGAAUAUUCUAAGGCGCGCGAGAGAACCCCUGUUAAGGAACUCGGCAAAUUGACCGCGUAACUUCGGGAAAAGCGGUGCCCCAUGCUCGUGAAAGUUUUACACUGUAAGCGAGAAGGGGCUGCAGAGAAAUGGCCCAGGCGACUGUUUACCAAAAACACAGGUCCCUGCAAAGUCGCAAGACGACGUAUAGGGGCUGACGCCUGCCCAGUGCCGGAAGGUUAAGGGGAAGGGUCCGACUUUUAGUCAAAGCUCUGAACUUAAGCCCCGGUAAACGGCGGCCGUAACUAUAACGGUCCUAAGGUAGCGAAAUUCCUUGUCGGGUAAGUUCCGACCUGCACGAAUGGCGUAACGAUCUGGGCGCUGUCUCGACGGGGGGCUCGGCGAAAUUGUAUUACCGGUGAAGAUGCCGGUUACCCGCGGUUAGACGGAAAGACCCCGUGGAGCUUUACUCUAGCUUGGCAUUGAGUUUUGGUAAGCAAUGUACAGUAUAGGUGGGAGACUUAGAAGCCAGGGCGCCAGUCUUGGUGGAGUCGACAUUGGGAUACCACUCUUUGGUUACUGGAAUUCUAACUUCAAGCCGUAAGCCGGAUGAAGGACAUUGCCAGGUGGGGAGUUUGACUGGGGCGGUCGCCUCCCAAAGUGUAACGGAGGCGUCCAAAGGUUCCCUCCGCGCGGUUGGAAAUCGCGCUUCGAGUGCAAAGGCAUAAGGGAGCUUGACUGCGAGACUGACAAGUCGAGCAGGGACGAAAGUCGGGCUUAGUGAUCCGGUGGUUCCGAGUGGA